GAAUCCUCUAGGCAAGAAUACUGGAGCGGGUUGCCAUUUCCUUCUCCAGGGGAAUCUUCCUGACCGAGGGAUAGAAGCCGUGUCCCCUGCUUGGCAGGUGGAUUCUUUACCACUGAGCCACCAGGAAAGCACAGGCCGUAUUACCUAAGAUCAAAUCCCCGACCCAGGUGUGGUGGUAUUUCUUUUCCACACCAGAUGCUGACUCUGAGGACUGCUCUGGGCCAGCGAGGCAACCUCUCAGCAUGCCACUAACCUCCUGGGAAGGAGAAAAAAAGCAGACUUUGAAUGAAGAAGAUUAAUGUGCUUGGUUAGCAGCUUUGGUUGAGGCACCAGGCAGUCUCUGACCAUUUCAAAGGAUGAUGCUAUGAUAUGCUAUGCUAUCUUUGUAUACAUGUCAUUUUAUGCGUGAGAGUUUCGG
ensembl:lncRNA